rnacentral:rRNA from 1 species
CUGGCUCAGGACGAACGCUGGCGGCGUGCCUAAUACAUGCAAGUCGAGCGGACUAAUGGGAGCUUGCUCCCGUUAGUUAGCGGCGGACGGGUGAGUAACACGUGGGCAACCUACCUGUAAGACUGGGAUAACUUCGGGAAACCGGAGCU